AGUAGUCUGGUGAACGUUGGAUUUUCAAGAGCAUUGUUUUUCGAGAUUGGGAGUAUAAAUGUAGGUAUUUUCGGCAUCAACCAUGGAGGAUUUAGCAGAUUUUCGGGAAAACUAACGGAGGUAAACAGGGAAACUUUUAAAGCUAACAGUUGGAACUUGCACAACACAACACUUGGGGUACUUCUGGUGUUCCAUAAGCUUUAUGAGGUAAAGGCAGGCUAACCAUUCACAUCUGCAAUGAAUGGGGGUUAUGCCUGUGUCCAGCCACAGAUGUGCACGAGGAGUGGAGUUUGGAGCCAGAAGGAUUGCACGAAGAAUUCAGUUUUGGAUUGUAUCCAGCUUCCUGGUAAGGGGAGAUCUGCCCUGAAGGAUACUUAGGUUCAGAUUCUUCCUAACCAGGAUUUUGAAGAAGUUUGCUCUUCGAGAAACCUUUGUAACUAAAUCUUGCAGAUGUUGGUUCCAGUUGAGCUUACGGUCAAAGGUGAUACCCAGGAAUUUGCCAUGACUGACGGCAGGGAUACUCUCACUGUUAAAGGUCAGAUGGA